AAUGCUGAUUUUUCUUGUGGUGGCGAGGACCCUAAACAAUACACAGCAUCGCCACUGUUAAAACAUUUGCGUAAAACACAUCCAAAAGAAAACGAGUUGUGCACAAAGGAAUCUACAGACAGCAGCCAAAAUGCAACAACUUCAGGUAUGGCAAAGGAAGGACAGUCACAGUUUACUUCAUUCUUC